UCCGAGUUGUAAUUUGUAGAGGAUGUUUUGGGUACCGCCCCGGUCUAAAUUUCUUGGAACAGAAUGUCAGAGAGGGUGAGAAUCCCGUCUUGGACCGGCGGUAGGGCCUGUGUAAAACUCCUUCGACGAGUCGAGUUGUUUGGGAAUGCAGCUCAAAAUGGGUGGUAAAUUUCAUCUAAAGCUAAAUAUUGGCCAGAGACCGAUAGCGCACAAGUAGAGUGAUCGAAAGAUGAAAAGAACUUUGAAAAGAGAGUUAAACAGUAUGUGAAAUUGUUGAAAGGGAAGCGCUUGCAACCAGACUUGAGCGCGACGGUUCCCCUAGCCUUUUGGCUAGGUUACUCUGUCGUGUCCAGGCCAACAUCGGUUCUGAGGGCCGGUCAAAGGCCCCGGGAAUGUACCUACCCACGGGUAGACUUAUAGACCGGGGUGUCAUGCGGCCUCUCGGGACCGAGGAACGCGCUUCGGCUCGGAUGUUGGCGUAAUGGUUGUCAGCGACCCGUCUUGAAACACGGACCAAGGAGUCUAACAUCUAUGCGAGUGUUUGGGUGUCAAACCCGGAACGCGGAAUGAAAGUGAACGGAGGUAGGAAGCUUCGGCUGCACUAUCGACCGAUCCUGAAGUUUACGGAUGGAUUUGAGUAAGAGCAUAGCUGUUGGGACCCGAAAGAUGGUGAACUAUGCCUGAAUAGGGUGAAGCCAGAGGAAACUCUGGUGGAGGCUCGCAGCGGUUCUGACGUGCAAAUCGAUCGUCAAAUUUGGGUAUAGGG
rnacentral:rRNA from 1 species